CCACAUAUUUCAAAACCACCAAAUUAUCUAAUUGACCAAAAUCAAAAGAGAACAGAAACUAGAAAAAGCAAAUCUAACAUUUGCAAGAAUUAGCACACGGAUGCAGUUUCUUCAUCCAUUUGCAAGAAUCAGAACAUGUUUUCACUCCACCUUUCAAAUCAAUUUCAGCCUUCAAAGCAAUGACAAGGUACGUUGUACAGUGGAAAUUUAAAAGCUUUGUUGGAUGAGGAUCUAGAAUUUGGUGAUGACUUGCCACAUUCCAUUGCUUACACCAUAAAUGGCAAACCGGGAGAUUUGUGUCCAUGCUCUAAAGGUGACGAUUAUGAAGGAGAUUUAGCAUUAACAAACACUGGGACCAAGGUGAAGGUGUUGAAUUAUAAUGAAGAAGUUGAGAUAGUUUUUCAAGGUACCAAUUUGUUGGAUGGCUCAGCAUUUCACCCAAUGCAUUUGCAUGGGUAUAGUUUUUACGUGGUUGGAAAAGGUUUUGGGAAUUAUGACAAUGAAACCGAUCCAAAAAGUUUUAAUUUGGUUGAUCCAGUUGAAGUGAAUACCUUUUCAGUUCCUAAGAAUGGAUGGCUUGCCAUCAGAUUUGUGGCAAACAAUCCAGGUGUGUGGCUUUGGCAUUGUCAUUUAGAUAGACAUAUGACUUUGGGAAUGGCUGCUGUUAUUAUUGUGAAGAAUGGAGGCACUACUGAGACAAGCAUUCGCGAACCCCCUCCUCACAUGCCUUCUUGCAAAGUUCCAUAAAGAUCUCGGCUUCAGAACAAUGUUGGAUCGGAUCAUGUAAAAGAUAACGAAUCAAUUUUUAGCUAAAUGCAUCAAUCAACUUUAUGUAACAAGUUUAUUGUUGUAUUGCAUUAAUUAUCUGUAGCUCUUAAUAAGCGAACUCUCUUUCAUUUUAAAAAAAAAUCAAAGUUCCUUUGUUGGAAAACGGUCCAUAGCAAGAAACCCUUAGAUAAAAUACUUUUAUAUAAUAAAAUAAUUGUGAGUUCCAGUUAGCUUAACUGGUAAAAUUUCUGAUGAUUGAAUAAGAGAUGUCAUAAGUUGAAACCCUCUCAAAAUA